UACGUAGGUGGCGAGCGUUGUCCGGAUUUACUGGGCGUAAAGGGAGCGUAGGCGGACUUUUAAGUGAGAUGUGAAAUACCCGGGCUCAACUUGGGUGCUGCAUUUCAAACUGGAAGUCUAGAGUGCAGGAGAGGAGAAUGGAAUUCCUAGUGUAGCGGUGAAACGCGUAGAGAUUAGGAAGAACACCAGUGGCGAAGGCGAUUCUCUGGACUGUAACUGACGCUGAGGCUCGAAAGCGUGGGGAGCAAACAGGAUUAGAUACCCGGGUAGU
rnacentral:rRNA from 1 species